rnacentral:rRNA from 1 species
CUCCUACGGGAGGCAGCAGUGAGGAAUAUUGGUCAAUGGACGCAAGUCUGAACCAGCCAUGCCGCGUGAAGGAUGAAGGCGUUCUGCGUUGUAAACUUCUUUUAUCAGGGAAGAAACCUCAGUAUUCUUAUUGAGCCGACGGUACCUGAUGAAUAAGCACCGGCUAACUCCGUGCCAGCAGCCGCGGUAAUACGGAGGGUGCAAGCGUUAUCCGGAUUCACUGGGUUUAAAGGGUGUGUAGGCGGGCUUUUAAGUCAGUGGUGAAAUCUCUGAGCUCAACUCAGAAACUGCCAUUGAUACUAUUAGUCUUGAAUAUUGUUGAGGUAGGCGGAAUAUGUCAUGUAGCGGUGAAAUGCUUAGAUAUGACAUAGAACACCGAUUGCGAAGGCAGCUUGCUAAACAAUUAUUGACGCUGAGGCACGAAAGCGUGGGGAUCAAACAGGAUUAGAUACCCUGGUAGUCCACGCCCUAAACGAUGAUUACUGGACAUUCGCGAUAUACAGUGAGUGUCUGAGCGAAAGCAUUAAGUAAUCCACCUGGGAAGUACGUCCGCAAGGAUGAAACUCAAAGGAAUUGACGGGGGUCCGCACAAGCGGUGGAGUAUGUGGUUUAAUUCGAUGAUACGCGAGGAACCUUACCUGGGCUAGA